UGGGCUGGGCUGGACAGUGCUUGGACUGUGCCGGGCUGAGCUAAACUGGGCUGCGCUGGGCUGAACUGGGCUGUGCUGGGCUGUGCUGGUCUGGGCUGAGCUGGGCUGGGCUGGGCUGGGCUGGACUGGGCUGAGCUGGGCUGAACUGGGCUGGGCUGGUCUGGGCUGUGCUGGGCUGUGCUGCGCCGGUCUGGGCUGUGCUGGUCUGGGCUGAGCUGGGCUGGGCUGGGCUGGGCUGGACUGGGCUGAGCUGGGCUGAACUGGGCUGGGCUGGACUGGGCUGGUCUGGGCUGUGCUGGGCUGAACUGGGCUGUGCUGCGCUGGUCUGGGCUGUGGCUCUGCGGUCCCGGGCGAGCGGCUCCGCAGGUGGUGAGCGUAUAUGGCUCCCGGGAUCGCCCUCCCGUCCUGACCGGCUCGGCCAUGCCCCUGCCCCCGCAGCCCCUCCUCUUCCUCCUCCUCCUCCUCCUCCUGCUCCUCCUCGGGACCCUGGGCAGGGCCGGACCCAGAUCCCAGGGGCCGCCAGUGUCCCUGUCCGCGACGCUGCACAAGUGGAGGGAAUACCGGCAGCAGUGUCUGAGGCUCCUGUGGGAGACGCCUUCACCGGCCGCAGGAGUCACCGUUUGCAACCGAACGUUUGACGACUACGCCUGUUGGCCAGAUGGAGUCCCGGGGACCUUUGUCAAUGUUACCUGCCCCUGGUAUCUGCCCUGGGCAAGCAGGGUCUCCCACGGACAGGUUUACCGCUUCUGCACUCUCGAGGGCACGUGGCUGCAGGAGAAGAACGCCACCCUGACCUGGAGGAACCUGACUGAGUGUGAGGACGCCGAAAAGGGGCAAUGGAGUCCCCCCGAGGAGCAGUUUCUGUUUCUCUCCAUCAUCUACACGGUGGGCUACGCCCUCUCCUUCUCCGCCCUGAUCGUCGCCACUGCCAUCCUCCUCCAGUUUAGACACCUGCACUGCACCCGGAACUAUAUCCACCUGAAUCUCUUCACCUCCUUCAUCCUCCGGGCCCUGUCUGUCUUCAUCAAGGACACCGUGCUCAAGUGGAUGUACAACACAGCUACCCAGCAGCACCAGUGGGAGGGCUUCCUUGCCUACCAGGAAUCUCUGGGCUGCCGCUUGGUCUUCCUGAUGAUGCAGUACUGUGUGGCCGCCAACUACUACUGGCUCCUGGUGGAAGGGGUGUACCUGUACACGCUGCUUGUGCUCUCCGUCUUUUCCGAGCAAAGGAUCUUCCGGAUUUAUCUGUGCAUUGGCUGGGGUGUGCCCAUGAUGUUUGUCAUUCCUUGGGGAAUAGUCAAGUACCUCUAUGAAGAUGAAGGCUGCUGGACCAGGAACACAAACAUGAACUACUGGCUGAUCGUCCGGCUCCCCAUCCUCAUCUCCAUAGGGGUGAACUUCCUCAUUUUCAUCCGCGUCAUCUGCAUCAUCAUUUCCAAGCUGCAGGCAAACCUGAUGUGUAAAGCUGAUACCAAAUGCAGACUGGCCAAAUCCACCCUGACCCUCAUCCCACUGCUGGGGACGCAUGAGGUCAUCUUCGCCUUCGUGGUGGAUGAGCACGCCCGGGGGACCCUGCGCUACGUCAAGCUGUUUGCUGAACUCUCCAUCACCUCCUUCCAGGGGCUGAUGGUUGCCAUCCUCUACUGCUUCAUCAACAACGAGGUCCAGGCUGAAUUUCGGAAGAGCUGGGCGCGCUGGAGGCUGGAGCGUUCGUCCAUCGAGAGGGACAGCAGCAUGAAACCCACCCAGUGUCCAGCCGGCAGCCUAAGCAGCGCAGGUAGCGUCUACGCGGCCACUUGCCAGGCCUCCUGCAGCUAAGACUGCCCAUCAUCCCUCUCGCCGGGUCGGAGGAAAAGCAAUUUAACCGGAUUAUCUCACUGGGAGGGGUAAAUUAUCACCUGCUUUGCAGAGGAGGAGUUGGAUUUUCUGCCCGUAAAGGCACAAGGCCUCCAGGUGUCCACAGACAGACCAGCAAAUCAACACAGGUGGCAAACGCGAGGUCAAUGGCUUAUUAGUUGGGUGGGAGGGGAGAAGUCCCGGCUCGGGGAGUCAUUGAUGAAAACUGCCCCGGGGGGUGCAGACGAUAUCUUUGUUCUAACUCUUCCAGGCCACUGGCGUUUGCCCACUUACAAGAGACCUUAAACGGCCUCAUUUUUUUCCAACCCCAGCCAUCGCAGUGCAUUUCCGGGCCCACCUCCUUGGCUGGCAUCCUAUCAUUAUUAUUAAUCGUAUUUAUUGAGCACUUACUGUGUGCAAAGCACUGUAUUAAGUGCUUGGGAGAGUACACUAUGACAUCAAAAACAUUCCCUACCCCCCCCAACGAGCUCACAGUCUAGAGGGGAAGAUAGACAUUAAUAGAAAUAGAUAAAUACUAAAAGGGGGAUCCCUCUCUGAGGCUGGGGAGAUGGUAGAGGCCAAUUACCAGUUACCAAUUCUGGACCAAAAGCACUGGUUGAUGUUGGCGUGAAGGUCACUUUUCUUGCUCUGUAGAUUCCACGCUCUGCCUGCGAACCAUCCUCAGUUUCUAGCAGG
rnacentral:lncRNA from 1 species